rnacentral:lncRNA from 1 species
CCCCCGGGGGCAAAUCGUGAGUUGGAUUUCAACCAGGAAAGCAGGUCUUGAUGGGGCAGGCAGAGGGGGUGUGGAGUGGCCCCACGGAUAUCGUUGCCUCGACCCUUGGCUCCUGGCGUUUGCUCAGCUAACUUUGCAGACGAGACGCUGUGUGCAGAGAGACACAGGCGAUAAGGAUGGGGUCGUUGGCUUCAGGGCACCCCCCAACCCGUGGCCUUCACUGGCCUCAUCCCUGUGCCGCCCUCCCCUGUGCCUGAAGGGGCGGAGCACCUGCGCAGAGAAUUCUUCUGAUAUCCCGCCCAUGGGGAGUUGGUGAUGGGACCCCCAGGAGAGGGACUGCGGGGGUGUCCCUGCGCCUUCGGGUGGUCAAUGCUGGUGAAGUUCGGCACCCAACUGUGAGCAAAGGAGAGGCCCUUUCCAGGAAGCCCCAGGGGCACUCCAGGGUCGGGAAGGGGCCACAGGGGUCUGGCGAAAGCAUGAGGCAA